AUUGAACGCUGGCGGCAUGCCUUACAUAUGCAAGUCGAACGGCAGCGCGGACUUCGGUCUGGCGGCGAGUGGCGAACGGGUGAGUAAUACAUCGGAACGUACCCUGUUGUGGGGGAUAACUAGUCGAAAGAUUAGCUAAUACCGCAUACGACCUGAGGGUGAAAGUGGGGGACCGCAAGGCCUCACGCAGCAGGAGCGGCCGAUGUCUGAUUAGCUAGUUGGUGGGGUAAAGGCCCACCAAGGCGACGAUCAGUAGCUGGUCUGAGAGGACGAUCAGCCACACUGGGACUGAGACACGGCCCAGACUCCUACGGGAGGCAGCAGUGGGGAAUUUUGGACAAUGGGGGCAACCCUGAUCCAGCAAUGCCGCGUGUGUGAAGAAGGCCUUCGGGUUGUAAAGCACUUUUGUCCGGAAAGAAAUCGCGCUGGUUAAUACCUGGCGUGGAUGACGGUACCGGAAGAAUAAGCACCGGCUAACUACGUG
rnacentral:rRNA from 1 species